UACGUAUGGAGCAAGCGUUAUCCGGAGUUACUGGGCGUAAAGGGAGCGUAGGCGGCCUGCCAAGUCUGAUGUGAAAUACCGGGGCUCAACCCCGGGGCUGCAUUGGAAACUGGCAGGCUGGAGUGCCGGAGAGGCAGGCGGAAUUCCUAGUGUAGCGGUGAAAUGCGUAGAUAUUAGGAGGAACACCAGUGGCGAAGGCAGCUUUCCAAGCUAUUACUGACGCUGAGGCACGAAAGCGUGGGGAUCGAACAGG
rnacentral:rRNA from 1 species